AUAAAUUAGGGUGGUAAGAUACGGUUUUUUUUUACUCCCUGUUUUUUUUUUGCAUAAUCGUUUCGUAAUUGAAGAAAUUUUUUUUGAGUAUUAUAUUAUACUCCGUAUUAAGGGAAAAUUUAAUGAUACCGACAGCUUUUGACGGAUUCAAUACUUUCAUGCUAAGUUUUGUUUUCGAAUCUUUUAUAUUUGUGAUUAGUUUUUUUUGUGAGGGGCUACGUAAGCAGUUACGUUCGACGAAAAAAAAAAAAAAAAAAACAGCAAUUACGUUCACAAGUACUGUGGAAGAAACGGGUCUCUCUAUCCGGA